AGUACGCGGCAGUAGUGGCCUUUCGAAAAGUUAUAGCGAUAUCAUUUGAUCCUUAACAUACCUUUCAUUAAAGCUCCUUUAUUAUUGUCUAUAUACGUAAGGUAAGUAAAUAAAUUGCCAGACGCGGAUUUUUUGAAGUCGCAUCUUGGUUGCUUGCGAUAUCCGGUCUGAAUAGGCGAAAUCAGAACUAUGCAGAUGACUCUAACGUCGUUUUGUUCUGGAUGCCAUCUGCUAACCCGCGCUCUACGAAAAACGACGGCGUCUCCAGACGAUCGCAGAUAAUUGCCUGAUUUUGCAUUAAAUUGUUUUGUAUGAGAGCAACGAACCUUGAACUGCAGGCUAUUUUGAAACCCAGUUGCUACGAACCUCAAAGCAUCUGAAUCGUUGUAUCUUUUCCAAAUUGACCUAUGGCGGAGGUAUCCACAUCUUACUCUUUACCUGACUCCUUGAAAACCUUGAACACAUGUCUGGUAUGUGUUGCGCUUUUCCUGAUAUGCAGUUUGUUAUUACUACCGAAUCAGAGCUAUUAUGGCCUUCAAAAUGAUGGCACUGCCGCGUCCCAUUCCGAUACACCGGAAAUCUAUAACUUGGCUGUUCCAACUCGCCCUGUCAGUCGUGCAAACUUUAUGUAUUUGAGCAUGAAGACGAGUUACAAAUUCCACACCUCAAGAAUAUUACCCUUACUGCAAACAUGGAUUCCGGUGGCGCUGGCGUUAAAGGAUGGAAACGACGAUCCAGUUGUUCCGCGGGUUUCGAUAAUAACUGAUUCACACCCGGAUGGAAAUUUUAAGGAUAGUCUCGAUAAACUUCAUAAGGUGAUUGUUACAUCCACCGAUUGCGGGAUAACCCAUCGCGGGUGGUUCUGUCACUUUGAUGACGAUGCCUACGUAAAUCCAGAUAUUCUUUAUUCGUCUUUGCUACAAAUUACUGAAACACACAAUGAAAAGGCACAUUUAUAUGUUGGCAAAAGGUCAAUUAAAUACGGAUUUAAUAUGACCGAUGCUAUUCAGCAAAAAAGGGUGAACGUUGUAUUUGCUAACGGUGAUGCGUAUUGUCUUAACGAUGUUAUGAUGCUGCGAAUCAGGAGCAGUAUGGUAAUCGCAAACGAUCCGCUGAACUUCAAACACCUUUCCAAAAAACACUACGGAGACAUUGGGGAUGAUGUCUUGUUGGCAUUUCUAUUGACUGCGUACUUCAACGCAACUUACGUGGAAUUACCCAAUAUCUAUUCGCAUACCUAUACUGAUUUGCCUAAUACGAAGUGGACUGAUGCGUGCGAGGCGGUAGCGGUAUGCCAAAGUAAGAGCAACUACUUGCACCCUACCGCUGCCGAUGGUUAUAAUGGCACAUCUUGGGUAAAUCUAACUCACAAACAAAGAGUCGUGGAGCUGCACAAUUUAUGCCGUGUCCAAAAAAAGGAUAAAAGAAAGAUAGUACAAAACCUAAAUAAAUCGUAAAGUCUUUGUUCGUUUUGUACAUUUAACGUUUCAACUAUACGAAAAAAAAUUUAUCCCUUUUCACCUUCCUUUGUAUGGAUAAAUCCUUGCUGAUACACUGGCGUCGGUAUUAACGCUUUAGCAGUUUACUAAACAGUGAUCUGUCGUUUUACGCAGAAAACCAUACAAAGCCAACGCAAAAAUGGUUUGUAAAUUUUGCAAGUGGGUCAUUUCUCGUUUUUGGCUGGUUUUACACGAAGGUACCUGAAGGUACCUUCUGUGCGUAUUUUGACUGCUUCGAGCGAUGUUUUUGUGCUGGAAGCGCUUCAAGUUUAAAUAGUGAUGCGACACUUGCGACACAAACGUUAACGGUCUCAACAUAACAUAAUUUUAUUAAGUAAUUCUUGUCCGUUUAAUUUGUGAUUGUUUGCACUUUUCAGUGAACGUUUUAUUGAAAAUGAGAAUGUGAUGUACGGGUGCUUGUAUUUUCUCUUCUGCUGUAAGCAAAGUUUUCUACUCAAAGUGAAAUAAUGUAUCAAGGUGGAAAGCACAGAAUUUCUCAUGAUGAUACAGUAGUGCAAAAGUACUAUAAAAUUGGCUGGCGAAAUGGAUCUCUUUUACCUAAAACUGUGAAAACGUUACUUUUAUGCGCAACACUUUUUUGCAUAAUUCUUUUACUUAUUCGUACUUUCCGACCAUACCACAAACAUCUUUCUGGUUUGUUGUACGUAGUCAUCGCACAGGAUGGCCAGUAUUCGUUGCGAAACAGCGAUCAGUCAAACUUCGCAUUGUAUUUAAGCAUUAGAACCAGCUUCCAGUUUCACAGAAAACGACUGCUCCCAUUGUUGCAAACCUGGAUUCCAUUGGCCUUGAUUAUGAAAGACAAUGAAGGAAGACUUGUUGUUCCACAGUUUACGAUAGUGACCGACGAGAAACCGGACAAUCAGUUCAUUGAUGACGCAUUCGGUCAGUGCCAUAAAAUGAAGAAUCCGUGAUACCACAGCCCGUACGUAGCAAUUAAAUAGUGGGCUGUGGUGAUCCUGUACUGUAAUCGCAAUUUCGCAUUCUAAAAGUGGAAUUAUUUAUGAUGCCGCAUAUAAAAAACCUUGCAUAUUUACUACUUUUAGUACUUAUUAAGUAAUAAAACUGGUAGGAGUGUUAGUUGGGUUAUUUUAAUGGCUUUUUGCUUGUCCCUACAGUGAAGCUUGUUAAAUUUUUGUUAAGAGUUCCUAUCGCAUUUUGGCCUUUCAGAUAAGUGUUACUUUAGGGACAAAUGCAUCUAGCAAGCUGGCGAUAGUGUACUCUGAUUGCGAAACUAUUCAUGGAGGGUAAGCUAAAGUUUGGGUUCAGUUGUUUGCGGUAAGUUAAUCAAGCUUGGCUCGAAUGAAUUAACUGAUGGUGAGGUGAAAUUUGUCUAGAUUUACUACUUUCUCUUAAAAGUUACAAACGAUUUCAGGGUUGCCCUAGCGUGCAAAACAAACCAAGAAUUUCUGGAGUUUUAUGAUUUUUCAGCUUCGAAUCCCAUGCCAAAGUAAGAAUUUAUAGCACCAAGAUAUCGAAUAUAAGUACGAGUCCUGCUAUCGAAUGUUUUGCAUGAAUAUAAUAUAGAAAAUAUAAUAUAAACCAAAUCGUAUGCGCGCGAUACUUUUUUAAUUUAUUUGUUAGGGCUGUUUUCAUGCUUUAUAUGUGUGUAUGUGCACAAUACCGCCUCAGCCGUUUUCUACGCGCUGCUUUUUCCUUUGAACAUUAGUUAAGUAGCAUUAUAUUUCGCAACUGCUAGAGUAGUGGAUUACUGGCUAGCUAGAUAUGUUAGAUUGCCUUGACCCUGAUCGGAAAAUUUCAGAUUACUAGCGUGAAAAUGGAUGUUUAGCAGUUGGUGUCGAUUUGGGAAUAGCGCUCAAAUGUUACAGGUGGUUCUGUCAUUUUGAUGACGAUGCCUACGUGAAUGUCGAUAUUUUGUAUGCAUCGUUACUAAACAUAACAUCCCAAAACUGGGGCAAUCAUACACAUUUCUACGUCGGGAAAAGGUCACUUGAAUAUGGAUACAACAUAAGUGAUCUAGUUCGCAAUCACAAGCCCGCUUCGCAUAUUGCCAACUUGGUUGGCCAAGCUCCUCUGUGAUUUUUCUAAAGAACUCAGAAAUACAAGCCAAAAUGUCUUCACUUGUCCAGAGAAUCUUGGGGGCCCAGUUUUCCAAUGGCGAUUUCUUUUGCUUGAACGAUGCAAUGAUGCAGCGAAUGAAAAGCAGUAUGAUGGAGGAGAGCGAUCCAUUAAAUUUUAUGAAUUUGUCUGCCGCAUACAACUCGGAUUAUGAGGACUUUUUGAAUGAUGAUGUCUUGUUAGGAUAUUUAUUAACCGGUAUGUCCAAAGUUUGGGCAGUUAAACAUUUGUAGCAAAAUGUUCUAGCGUUUGAAUAUCCACCAUAAGGUUGGUUUAUCAGGAUAGUAAAUUGUACUAGUGGUUACAAAUUUUGCGUUUGCAUUUGGGUGACCAAAUUUGUAUUGGUUUAAUACAAACCUUUGUUGACGUUACCAGAAUUUAUGAAUGCCACUUUUGUUGAACUGCCCAACAUUUAUUCGCACACUUAUGAUGAUCUGUCCAGAAUCAAGUUAGCCGAUGCCUGUGCUGCGGUAAGACUAAAUCAACUUGCAGUAGUAUCCGUAACCAAUUUCAUGCAAGUAUCAACUUAUUUGUUUUAUUCUGCUACUACAGUGAGUACAGUAGGUUUUAUUUCAUUGCUGUGCAUGCAUACAGUAAUAACUUCAUCGUUGCGACUUUUGAGAUGCUCAUGCUUUUGAAAUACAGGUCUCGGUAGUCCAGAGUGAUUCUAACUACUUACGGCCGGAUAUUACGGAAGAUGGUUAUGAUGGUCCGUCUUGGGCGAACAUAAGCCGGACUGAAAGGGUUGCAGCACUACAUACCGUUUGCCAGCGCGCGAAGGAAAAGAAUCUG